CCUACGGGAGGCAGCAGUGGGGAAUAUUGCGCAAUGGGCGAAAGCCUGACGCAGCGACGCCGCGUGAGGGAUGAAGGUCUUCGGAUCGUAAACCUCUGUCAGCAGGGAAGAACGGUCACUGUGCUAAUCAGCAGUGAAUUGACGGUACCUGCAAAGGAAGCACCGGCUAACUCCGUGCCAGCAGCCGCGGUAAUACGGAGGGUGCGAGCGUUAAUCGGAAUUACUGGGCUUAAAGCGCUCGUAGGCGGUAUGUCAAGUCAAGGGUGAAAUCCCCGCGCUCAACGUGGGAACUGCCUUUGAAACGGGCAAACUGGAGUGUGUGAGAGGAUAGUGGAAUUCCAGGUGUAGGAGUGAAAGCCGUAGAUAUCUGGAGGAACAUCAGUGGCGAAGGCGACUAUCUGGCACAUAACUGACGCUGAGGAGCGAAAGCGUGGGUAGCAAACAGGAUUAGAUACCCUUGUAGUC
rnacentral:rRNA from 1 species